GCGCGCAAGGCCACAGGUGCGCGAGGAGGAGGAGGAGGAGGAGGUAGAGGAAGCGAGGCCUGCGCCAGAGGAACUUCCCCCACCUGCUGUCGAGGAGCAAGAGGAGGGUGUGCCCGAGGGAUUGGAGGCACCACCAGAGCCACCGGCCGAGCAGCCCCAAGAUGCUGGGAUGGGCAGAGACCUGGCCAUUCGGGAGGCAGCUCUGGGGGAAGACCCUGGCGGCAGGCGUGGGCCACAACAGAGCCGGCUGCGCCGACCUGUGGUGGAGGCACCACCAGAGCCACCGGCCGAGCAGCCCCAAGAUGCUGGGAUGGGCAGAGACCUGGCCAUUCGGGAGGCAGCUCUGGGGGAAGACCCUGGCGGCAGGCGUGGGCCACAACAGAGCCGG